CUUGGUCAUUUAGAGGAAGUAAAAGUCGUAACAAGGUUUCCGUAGGUGAACCUGCGGAAGGAUCAUUAAUAAUGCGUGGGAAAGGUGUGUGGGGAACGUGUCCUUGGUAGAGGUACUGCCUCCCGAAAUGAGGGACACGCCAACCGCGUCCUGGAACACACAGUUACACCCUUGAUUAUUUACAAUUGUUGCUUUGGUGGACCGCCUCCGGGCGUGGGCCUUGGCCUGCCGUGUCCGCCAGAGGACCCAAACUCUGUUUUUAGUGACGUCUGAGUACUAUAUAAUAGUUAAAACUUUCAACAACGGAUCUCUUGGUUCUGGCAUCGAUGAAGAACGCAGCGAAAUGCGAUAAGUAAUGUGAAUUGCAGAAUUCAGUGAAUCAUCGAAUCUUUGAACGCACAUUGCGCCCGCUGGUAUUCCGGCGGGCAUGCCUGUUUGAGUGUCAUUAAAUUCUCAAACUCUGAUUGAUUUGUUUCAAUCGGAGGUUUGGAUUUGGAGCGUGCCGGCGUCAAGUCGGCUCCUCUUGAAUGCAUCAGCGGAAUCCCAUUCAUUUCGGACGUCAGUGUGAUAAUCAUGUUGCGCUGUCUUUGCGAUCUUGAAAGCCCGCUCACAAUGGUCUUCGGACAACUUCAUAUCAAAUUUGACCUCAAAUCAGGUAGGACUACCCGCUGAACUUAAGCAUAUCAAUAAGCGGAGGA
rnacentral:rRNA from 1 species